CUGGAUGCUUGAAUCAUGUUGUUGGAUUUUUUUUCUCUUUUUUUCUGAUUGAUGGAAUGAAGAAUGAAAAAUGCCUUGCCUGGGGAAUAGUUGGGAUUUGUACUAAUUUUUGCACGUUUUCUUGCCAUUUAGUGACUUGUGUUUGCCCUUGUUAAUCAUCUUGCUCCUAUCAUUUUUUUCCUUUAAAAGGUUCUUGGUUGUGAAAUGAGGAUGUCUUCAACCAAUUCCUGGUGUGAAGUGAGGCAUUUAUGUAUUGUAAAAGGAUCAAGAGAUCAAAAAUUUUAUUUAGCUCAAGAAAUCUGUGCCAAGAUUUUAAUUGAAUAUACCAUAGAACUUAAUUCAAGCCUUAAUUCCAAAUUACUUGGGUCUGCUACAUGAAUCCUUUUCAUCCAUUCGCCUCAGUUUAGGGCUAUACUUUGUAGAAGAUGUUUAGAUAUUAAGUUCUUCCUUGCUACUUCAUUCUGUGUGAUUUUCGGUCUACCCCUUCCUCUUUUUUGUUCCACAUGUAUUGAAUCACUCCUUCUUAGUGGUAAUUAGAUAUACUAUGUUGAAAGGUUAAAAUGAUAUAAUGUGAAAUAAUGUAGUACCGAGCAUUCUAUAUUUACCAAACCUGGAAGGGGAUCAAAUUUUGUAAAACCAGAACUUUUUUUUCAGAAAUUGUGAUUUAAAAAUGUUUUUCUUGCAAAUUGAUUUGGAUCUCCCAUUGCUCAUGGUGUUUGUGUUAUGGAAGAUCUGUUGUAUCAUAAAUUCUUCUGUUCAUACAACAAAAAUGUGCAUGAAUUGCUGCUGAACGAGAUGGUUUGAUAUGAUAAAUCAUCGGUCUCAUAUUGGCAAGGCACGUGAUUCAUAGCUAGCCAUCACUAAAUACUUGAUGAGCAUAUUGAGUAUGACGAUAGGGAAAUAGGCAAUAGUUCCUCUCCAGUCAGGUAACAACUAAUUUCUAGUUCCUAUUAAUAAGAGUACAUUCCAAUGUACUAUAAAUCAUAAUGUUUUGUGAUUCGGCUACUUUUGGAUAUCACUGUUAUGAUUUCACACAGUUGCCUGUUUGGUUGAGAAGUGAGUUUUCACAAAAUCCCUUGAAUCUUGGAUUUUUUUUUUUUUGUUAAAAGUAAAAAAAUUGAAUUGAGUUCUUCAAGUCCAUUUUUUUUCCUUCAUUCCACCUUAUAAUUUUUCUUUUAACAACCAAAGACCUUCUAGAACAUCUCAGUUUGUUAACAUAUAAAUGUUGAACAACAAAGAGUCACAAAUUUGAAACUUAAAAUCUUUAAAAGUAAUCUAGAUUCUUCAUACAUCGAGUGAGUUAAUUGCUUUAUAGAAUCAUCUUCUCUUCCACAGGCUUAUCACUAUGCAGUUAUCUUGAACAUAGAAUGGCAAGUUUAUGUUUCAGUUUAAAUUUCCUUAAAGCAUUGACAGGCACCUUGAAGUGAAUUUGGAUGACUGGCUGGCAGAUGAACUGGAGAACCAUUUGGAUGAUGAUUAUCUUGUUUUUGACUGUCCAGGUCAAAUCGAGCUUUUUACACGUUCCAGUUCUGCGGAAGUUUGUGGUCUGUGGACCAUCUAAAACAUAAAAGUUUCAAUCUGUGUUGUAUACUUGCUUGAUUCACAGUUCAUGACUGAUGUGACCAAGUAUAUAAGCAGUUGCAUGGCAUCUCUUUCUGCACUGGUUCGGCUUGAACUACCCCAUGUCAACAUUCUUUCAAAUAUGGACCUGAAUGGAAGUAGCAGCAAGCAUCUUGUCAAAGAAUUUUUCAGCAUCAGUAACCCUACCAACACGCAUAUGAUAUGUAUUGUCAUGCAUCGACAACUGCAUCCUGUAUGGUGAAGACGCUGAUGUGAAGCUAAUGUUGAGCUCAGCACGAGGGAGAGGCCGAAGAAGAACACACAUAAGAUAAAAUAAAUGCUUGUGUUUGUUUCUUCUGGCAAUAAUUGGGGGGUGGGGAAGUGGCUUGUUUUCGAUUGAUGGCCUUCCAGCUUGUUUGGAAUUUGGUUUUACCAUCAAACAAAAUGUGUAUAAUCAAUCAUAUAGGAGUCCAAUUCGACAGUUUCCUGUGUUUGAAGUUGUCCAUACGAUGCUACUUGUAUGGUGAAUAAAUUGGUCUUGUUCUCCUUUUUGAUGUGCUUCUACCUUGCAAAUUUACUAUGGCACUUGUAUGCUUCUUUUUUCA